GCCGAGCAUGGUGGCAUGUGCCUGUAGUCCCAGCUAUUCCUGCUUGAGCCCAGGAGUUCUGGGCUGUAGUGCGCUAUGCUGAUCAGGUGACCACACUAAGUUCAGCAUCAGUAUGGUGACCUCCCGGUAUCAGGGGACCACCAGGUUGCCUAAGGAGGGGUGAAACGGAGCAGGUCAAAACUCCUGUGCUGAUCAGUAGUAGGAUCGUGCCUGUGAACAGCCACUGCACUCCAGCCUGGGCAAUAUAGCUAGACCCU
ensembl:misc_RNA Metazoa_SRP Metazoan signal recognition particle RNA